GAUGUCCCGGCCUUUCCUUGAACCAGUAGACCCUAAUGAUGCACCAGAUUAUUAUGGUGUUAUUAAGGAACCUAUGGAUUGACCUUUGUAAAGAAGAAAAACAUGUUAGAAGAAAAAUGGAAAAGAACUCUGCAUGCCCUCAGCUCAGAUGCCAUCUCCUCUGGGAGCUCCUCUGGCCCCUGCCAAGGCUGGAUCAGAUGCCCUCAGGGCACACACGAUGCUGAUCCAGGGCCAUCUGUGGCCCAGACUCUGGGUCCCUCAUGCAGCCCUCACCACUGCUCAGGAGGCCACAGGAACAGAGGAAUCACUGGCCCAUUUUACAGACGGGAAAGCUGGACCCGGAGAAGUGAAGCAACUUUCCUGACUCACAGUGGGUGAGGGCCUCCCACACUCUUUCCCCUGCCCCAUGCUGUUUCCAAGGGACUUCCACAGGCACAGGAAGCAGGCUGAGUGCAUAGCAGGAGUACAGCGCUGCUGCCCAGGGAUGGAGCAGGAGGGCCAGGGAGAGAGAGACAGGGGUGCCCCUGGUGCCCACAGAGACAGGUCUGUAAAGCCCAUGAACAAACUCUCAGCAGGGCGGGGACGGGUGAAUGGGGCUGGGGCCCACAACCCAUACCACAGGCACCUGGUCUACACAGGUCUGUAGGCCUGUGCAGAUACCUGGCUCCUUGACCAAGGAGGGUGAUAAGGCCCCACCUGACCCCAGAGAUUUCGCCACCUGGUUAGGUGGGCAGGAGGAUAGUCUCUCUGGAGCUCUGGGUCAUGGACUCUCAGAGGUAGGGAGUGAGUCAGCAUGGCCAAAAGGUGGAGACCCAGUCACCCACGGAUGCUUGGGAUGGGCGAGCCUCCUGGGGCGAAGCCUUCUAGGGUCUAGGGUCCCACAUGGUGGUCCCCGGAGGGCUUUCUGUUCUUCCAGGCCCUGCAGAGGAGACCAAGGCUCAGCUGGCAGCUGUGGGGCCAGAUUCUCCUCUUUGCCUAGGGGAGAGCCCCCGCAGCACCCCUUGAGAGCCCCUGGGGACCUGCCUGGGGCACACCCUGGCCCCCAGGAAGCCCGGCUCUGGGAGCACUGCAGCCAGGAUGGAGGAGGCAGUCUUCAGAGAGGCACUGUCUAGGCCAGCCCUGUGGGGAGGGAAGGCCAGAUGGGGGAACCUGGAGGGGCUUGUGAACUGGUUCCUGACCCUAGAAACCCAGCAGAGGUGGACUCGAAGCCCAUUCUGGGGAGAAGGCACCGGCAGGCUUCUCCGCCUGAGGUCUGCCCUCCUGAGGGUGCCAGGAGAGCACAGCCCUGGGAAGACUGUAGCCUGGGCUGUGACCUGAGGACUAGGAAGCGUUUAUGACAGACAUGGAGAGGCCUAAGUCCCUGCUGAAGCCCAGCAUCACAUCCCAUUCCUGAGCACCAAAGGCCCCAGGCCCUGGGUCUCACCUUAGAAGUCACUUCCUCCAGGAAGUCCUUCCUGCCUUGUCCUCCUCUGAUCUGGGCUGGAUGUAAGCCUCUGUGCUUCCAGGACGUCCUGCCUCUCACCCUCACCCCCGGAUGGAGUUGCUGGUUUUCCCACCUGUCUCCCUCUCACCCUCACCCCCGGAUGGAGUUGCUGGCAUUCCCACCUAUCUCCCCUCUCACCCUCACCCCCGGAUGGAGUUGCUGGCAUUCCCACCUAUCUCCCCUCUCACCCUCACCCCCGGAUGGAGUUGCUGGCUUUCCAACCUAUCUCCCUCUCACCCUCACC
rnacentral:lncRNA from 1 species